rnacentral:rRNA from 1 species
UACGUAGGGUGCAAGCGUUAUCCGGAAUUAUUGGGCGUAAAGAGCUCGUAGGCGGUUUGUCGCGUCUGCUGUGAAAACUGGAGGCUCAACCUCCAGCCUGCAGUGGGUACGGGCAGACUAGAGUGCGGUAGGGGAGAUUGAAAUUCCUGGUGUAGCGGUGGAAUGCGCAGAUAUCAGGAGGAACACCGAUGGCGAAGGCAGAUCUCUGGGCCGUAACUGACGCUGAGGAGCGAAAGCAUGGGGAGCGAACAGG